rnacentral:rRNA from 1 species
CACGUGUGCAACCAACCCCGUACCGGGAGAUAACCCGCGGAAACGUGGACUAACACCCCAUAACACCUUUCCCCCGCAUGGGGGGGAGUUUAAAACCCCGGUGGUACGGGACGGGCACGCGCGACAUUAGGUAGUUGGCGGGGUAACGGCCCACCAAGCCGACGAUGUCUAGGGGUUCUGAGAGGAAGGUCCCCCACACUGGAACUGAGACACGGUCCAGACUCCUACGGGAGGCAGCAGUGAGGAAUAUUGGUCAAUGGGCGAGAGCCUGAACCAGCCAAGUCGCGUGAGGGAAGAAUGGUCUAUGGCCUGUAAACCUCUUUUGUCAAGGAAGAAUAAGCGGCACGAGUGCCACCUUGCCAGUACUUGACGAAUAAGCAUCGGCUAACUCCGUGCCAGCAGCCGCGGUAAUACGGGGGAUGCGAGCGCUAUCCGGAUUUAUUGGGUUUAAAGGGCGCGUAGGCGGGACGGCAAGUCAGCGGUAAAAGACUGCAGCUAAACUGUAGCACGCCGUUGAAACUGUCGACCUGGAGACGAGACGAGGGAGGCGGAACAAGUGAAGUAGCGGUGAAAUGCAUAGAUAUCACUUGGAACCCCGAUAGCGAAGGCAGCUUCCCAGGCUCGAUCUGACGCUGAUGCGCGAGAGCGUGGGUAGCGAACAGGAUUAGAUACCCUGGUAGUCCACGCCGUAAACGAUGCUCACUGGAUCUUGGCGAUACGCGGCCAGGGUUCAAGCGAAAGUAUUAAGUGAGCCACCUGGGGAGUACGUCGGCAACGAUGAAACUCAAAGGAAUUGACGGGGGCCCGCACAAGCGGAGGAACAUGUGGUUUAAUUCGAUGAUACGCGAGGAACCUUACCCGGGUUUAAAUGCAGGUUGCAUGAGGUGGAAACACCUCUUUCCCUCGGGACUACCUGCAAGGUGCUGCAUGGUUGUCGUCAGCUCGUGCCGUGAGGUGUCGGGUUAAGUCCCAUAACGAGCGCAACCCCUAUCGCCAGUUGCCAUCGGUUCAAGCCGGGCACUCUGUCGAGACUGCCACCGUAAGGUGCGAGGAAGGCGGGGAUGACGUCAAAUCAGCACGGCCCUUACACCCGGGGCGACACACGUGUUACAAUGGCCGGUACAGAGGGCAGCCACGGGGCGACCCGGAGCGAAUCUCUAAAGCCGGUCGUAGUUCGGACUGGAGUCUGCAACCCGACUCCACGAAGUUGGAUUCGCUAGUAAUCGCGCAUCAGC